CGGGUUUCAGACAAGGCGGGGGGGCGGGUGGCGCGGCGGGAGGGGCUGACGUUUUCCGUGCAGCAGGUGCGGCCGCUUGGAGCACUCACCGAGGUUCGGAGUUCAGCUACUGAGAUGGGAUAGGGGAAGGCGCUAAUCACAGCAGGUCCCUGCCGAGCUCGCGGGCUCCGGGCGCGACCCUGACAAGUCGGGGAGCCUUUUCCAGAGUGCGAAGAAAUGCUGUGCAUCCCCGCAGAGUUCUCCCCGACUUCUCCUUCAGCCUUCCGCCCGCCGCUCGCCCCUCACCCCGCGUGCACACCCGCAGGCUCCUGUUCUGUCUGUUCUUUAGCCAAAGCGCUGACGCGCAUGGCCACCCCCACCCCUCACCAUCUGCCUUUCAGUUUCCACGGUGAGCUCACCCUCCUCCCGCGUCUCUGCGCUAACAAACACCUGGGGGUGGCGCCUGAAAGCCAUGUGAAACGACUUUGCAGCCCACCCAAGCAGGACCGGCAGUCGGGACAGAAUAGGUUAUCUGGUUGCAGGAUUUGCAUUUCAGCAGAUUGAUAGAUGAAGCAUAAAACAAGACCAGAUGCUGUGGUUUCCAGGAUGCACUUGGCUUCCCAUGCUUUAUAACCUGGAGCAUUUAUUGCUGUCCAUUCCUGAUGUGUCCACCAGAGACCAGUCUCAUCAGGCUCACAGUGGACACUCCUACAGUGUUUACCACGUGCCAGGCUUGUUCUGAGUGCUGCAUAGCUCCGCACCUAACCCUUAGAACAGCCCCAUCUGCUAGAACUAGUACUGUCCCCAUUAGAUGCUGGAUGACCCUGGCCUGCAGGGAGAUGGACCAGCUUGCCAAAGAUCUCACAACUGGUAUGCGGCGGAGCAAAAUUUGAAAGCAGACCGUCUGGCUCUGGAAACUGUGCUUUUAACCUCCACGCCAAAUAGCUGCUCAAGGAAUUUAUGGUCUGAGUAUAAAUGGGAGACGGGUUCAGCAUCAGUUUACACCCAGUUUUUGCUUUUAUAUUAUAAACCCCGAGGACUAUCAUUCACGUACAUCAAUAAGUAGAUGACGGUUGGAAUAAAUUGAGGCAUCAUGAGUCUCCAUCAACCAAGGUGGUACAAAAACAGCACUCUACUUGGUUUGUGUUCUGUGCCCUGAAGCAGAAAUGCGUUUAAUUGUUCAUUGCAAAAUAAACAGAUGUCUAGAGGAGAAGGUUAUUAAAAAUAUUUUGUGCAGUUUGGAAGAACUAGAGGUCAGGAUUGCUUGACCUAGCGUCUCCAAGCAAACCCAAGUCAAGUAAGCUGCCAAGGUGACCUAGGAAGAGGGUGGCCCUAUGAGCUCUAGCAGCCAAUGGCCUGGGACCGCACCCUGGGAGGCAGCCAAGACAAAGAAUCCAAUCCAGGAUCCUGCGUUUGCAUUUAGUUGCUGUACCUCCUUGGUCUGGGAAGGAGACUCUCAGUGGAGGCUCUGAGGGUCGUGAGGAAGUCGUAUUGCAGGCUGGAGAAGUGGUGCUGUGUAGUAGCAAAGUGUUUGGCAUCCCUUGUGAGCAGUAAAACACAGAAGACAGAAAAUGUACCUAAUGAACUUGUAGAUCUGGCAAAGGGGAGUUUCAAGCUGCACGUUCAGAGUAUCAGUUGGCUUCUUUUAGUGAUGUGUGAUGGUGUUACUAGAGAGAGAGAGAGAUGUGUUAAAAAAGGAACUAUUCCGUUUUCAAGCAGAAUGUAGAGGAAAUAGGGCCUUGGAGAUUCUGUGUUGUCAGCAACAGUCUCAAAGGAAGAAAUGGCCUUAGGGGCCUGCCUUUCGAAUGUGGCCUCGAGGUAAAAAUCCAAUCCAGACUAUGUUGAAGCCUCUACACAUUAAGAUGUUUCAUAGACCCUCUCAUCUAGCCAAAAGGGCUUCUAAGAAGAAUCUUCAGGGGAGUCCAACAGCAGCUACUUCGACAAGGCCCAAAGUAGACAGAAGUUUGUUCUUGGAAGAAUUACAGAUGUUGCUUUGUGGGCAGAGUUGUCGAGGGCAAGAAGUAAACUCUGUUAAGACUCAUAGGAAACCCUCAAAAUGUUGAAGACAGCUCUAUUGAUGAAACCACUGCUAGCCUGAACUAAAGAGGAAAGAGACAGUUCAAAGCGUAAAAAACAAAACAAAACAAAAAAAAACCAUCGGGCCCCCAACUUUCUGUGGACAGGACCCAGGCUGAGAGAGCUGUUGGACCAUAAAGGGCAGGCAGUGGCUUAUGGACAAGGAAGCCUCAAAGGUCAUAGUCUGCACCCCGGAGCAGGGAGCCAGGAACAGUGGUUUGGGAAGCAGCUCCUGGGGAGAAGAACAAGCCCCUAAUGGCGGGGCGGUCUGGGUUCCCAGAGUGAGGGUGACAGUGCUCAGCUGGCUUUCAGAACUGCUAGGGCUGGUGGCUGCUCUGUGCCUUCUCGCUCCCCCGCUUUGAACACGAGUGUCUGUUGUAGUUAACUUAUCCCUGUCUCAGCAUCGUACGUUGUGUCUGUAACUCGUCUUUUCAGCUCACAUUUCUCUAGAGGAAGAGGAGCAGCAUCUAAAAUGCCUCCACCACACCUGGGCCUAGUGUCUACCAUUAGAUCCUGGUCCUUAGAGCCAGUGCUACACAGAACGACAGUGUGGGAGGAGGGAGUGUACUCCACAAGUCUGUGUGUGUGGGCGUGUGGGUGUGAAUUAUUGUGGCCAAAGGGUGGCUUAUGACAGAGUGUUUCCCCCUAUGACUGCCGACAGCUCCUCUCAUUCCAGACACUCCUUCCAUUAGGGAGUGUGGUCUCUUUCCUGUCCCCUUGGGUCUGGGCUGGCCCUGUGACUGCCUUUGGCCAGGAGAGUACAGGGAAAGUGAUGUUCUGGGACUUCCAAGCCCUGGCUUUCACUGACCUUGUAGCUUCCACUUUUUCUUUCUUGGGAUCCAGGCUGUAAAGAGUAAGUAUAAAAAAGCCUGGGCUGGCCCACCGAAUGAUGAGCGAUCAUGCUGCCUGCCAUCUUGGCUGUUCCAGCCCCAGCCAAACUCAUAGCUAGAGGUGACCACAUGUCUGGCCCCAGCUGCGUCAUGGGAAGGCAGAAGAACCACCCAGCUGUGCCCUUCCCAAAUUGCAGAAUCGUGAGCAAAGAAGGGGUGGUGGUCCUUUUCAGGCACAGAGCUUAUGAUGGUUUGUUAGGCAGCAGCAAUAGGUCGUUGAAGCCAUUACCAAAUGUCAGGGUUCUUUUGACUCCUUUAACUUCACUCCAGGGGCUGUGAAGAGGUUGUAACAGUGUCAGAUAAAGAAGCCAAGUUUCAAGGAGACUCAGUUCCGUAAAGGCUGGACCCUAUGUGCCACAGUCACGGCUCUGUCCACAGAGCUUUGCACAGAAUGAGCAUGUGAUAUAUGCCCAGAUAUAUGUUGAUUGGACAAUUAAAUGAAUGAAUGGAGAUUAAAGAUGCCACACCAUGAAAAAGAAAGACAAAAAAGAUACUCUAAACAGAGUUUGUCUCAUUCCCUUUUUUCUUUCAAAAAGGUGCUCUUCGUUUUCAGAAACAGUGAUGCCUUGGAAGCCAGAAGGAUGUUCUGAAGGGAAAGAUUUGUAGAAGUGAGGCACAGGGCAACCUUGACUCCUUCUCCAUGUCCCUCCUACACCUUGAAAAAAGAGGGCCACUCUGGGAAACACCUGGCAAAUGCCCCAACACCUGCUGGUAGAUACAAAUUAUUAUCUUUUUCUAUUCUUGGAAGAGCUAAAAGCAGACUAUGUGUUCCAAAGGACUAUAGUUAGAGUUAAUACCAAAAGGACCAGAGUAGAAUAACCAAUAGCCAGUGUUAGGUUGGAGAGUAAAACAGUCAAUGCUGAUUUGUCAUGUUAGGUCUUCUCUUUCCCAUCACUCUCUGGUCCAAGUCACAAUUUCUGAAUGCAACUUGGACCCAGCACAUGCCUAUUCUGCUCUGUGGUUCUCCCAGGAAUACCUGGCCCCAUCCUCAUUUCUCUGAGAGUGAUAAUUUCAUAUAGCACAUCUCUCUACUGGGACGUGAAAGGAGACCCAAGUGCUGUGUGCGAUAGCUCCAGGAGAGCUUAGAGACAAGAAGGGAAAGUUCUUUUUUAGGGUUACUUGCAGUGCCUUCUGGAGAAGUACCUUCUGGAGACAUGUCUUGGGCAAAACAUAUUUAUUUAAAAGAAUAGCAAUAUUACUACCGAGUAUUUACCCCAAAGAUACAAAUGUAGGGAUCCGAAGGGGUAUGUGCACCCCAAUGUUUAUAGCAGCAAUGUCCACAACAGCCAAACUGGAAAGAGCCAAGAUGUCCAUCGACAGAUGAAUGGAUAAAGAAGAUACAAUGGAAUAUUAUGCAGCCAUAAAAGGAAUGAAAUCUUGCCAUUUGCAACGACAUGGAUGGAACUGGAGGGUGUUAUGCUGAGCGAAAUAAGUCAAUCAGAGAAAGACAUGUAUCAUAUGACCUAACUGAUAUGAAGAAUUCUUAAUCUCAGGAAACAAACUGAGGGUUGCUGGAGUGGGGGUUGGGGUGGGAGGGAUGGGGUGGAUGGGUGAUAGACAUUGGGGAGGGUAUGUGCUAUGGUGAGCGCUGUGAAUUGUGCAACACUGUUGAAUCACAGAUCUGUACCUCUGAAACGAAUAAUACAUUAUAUGUUAAAAAAAAUUAAAAAAAGAAGAUAGCACGUGGGGGAGAAUGAAGGGGGGAAAUCGGAGGGGGAGAUGAACCAUGAGAGAUGAUGGACUCUGAAAAACAAACUGAGGGUUCUAGAGGGGAGGGGGGUAGGAGGAUGGGUUAGCCUGGUGAUGGGUAUUAAAGAGGGCACAUUCUGCAUGGAGCACUGGGUGUUAUACGCAAACAAUGAAUCAUGGAACACUACAUAAAAAACUAAUGAUGUAAUGUAUGGUGACUAACAUAACAAUAAUAAAAAAAUUUUUUAAAUAAAAGAA